ACAAUGAAGAGUUUGAUCCUGGCUCAGGAUGAACGCUAGCUACAGGCUUAACACAUGCAAGUCGAGGGGCAUCAGGAAGAAAGCUUGCUUUCUUUGCCGGCGACCGGCGCACGGGUGAGUAACACGUAUCCAACCUGCCCUUUACUCGGGGAUAGCCUUUCGAAAGAAAGAUUAAUACCCGAUAGCAUAAUGAUUCCGCAUGGUUUCAUUAUUAAAGGAUUCCGGUAAAGGAUGGGGAUGCGUUCCAUUAGGUUGUUGGUGAGGUAACGGCUCACCAAGCCUUCGAUGGAUAGGGGUUCUGAGAGGAAGGUCCCCCACAUUGGAACUGAGACACGGUCCAAACUCCUACGGGAGGCAGCAGUGAGGAAUAUUGGUCAAUGGGCGGUAGCCUGAACCAGCCAAGUAGCGUGAAGGAUGAAGGCUCUAUGGGUCGUAAACUUCUUUUAUAUAAGAAUAAAGUGCAGUAUGUAUACUGUUUUGUAUGUAUUAUAUGAAUAAGGAUCGGCUAACUCCGUGCCAGCAGCCGCGGUAAUACGGAGGAUCCGAGCGUUAUCCGGAUUUAUUGGGUUUAAAGGGAGCGUAGGUGGACUGGUAAGUCAGUUGUGAAAGUUUGCGGCUCAACCGUAAAAUUGCAGUUGAUACUGUCAGUCUUGAGUACAGUAGAGGUGGGCGGAAUUCGUGGUGUAGCGGUGAAAUGCUUAGAUAUCACGAAGAACUCCGAUUGCGAAGGCAGCUCACUGGACUGCAACUGACACUGAUGCUCGAAAGUGUGGGUAUCAAACAGGAUUAGAUACCCUGGUAGUCCACACAGUAAACGAUGAAUACUCGCUGUUUGCGAUAUACAGUAAGCGGCCAAGCGAAAGCAUUAAGUAUUCCACCUGGGGAGUACGCCGGCAACGGUGAAACUCAAAGGAAUUGACGGGGGCCCGCACAAGCGGAGGAACAUGUGGUUUAAUUCGAUGAUACGCGAGGAACCUUACCCGGGCUUAAAUUGCAGUGGAAUGAUGUGGAAACAUGUCAGUGAGCAAUCACCGCUGUGAAGGUGCUGCAUGGUUGUCGUCAGCUCGUGCCGUGAGGUGUCGGCUUAAGUGCCAUAACGAGCGCAACCCUUAUCUUUAGUUACUAACAGGUCAUGCUGAGGACUCUAGAGAGACUGCCGUCGUAAGAUGUGAGGAAGGUGGGGAUGACGUCAAAUCAGCACGGCCCUUACGUCCGGGGCUACACACGUGUUACAAUGGGGGGUACAGAAGGCAGCUAGCGGGUGACCGUAUGCUAAUCCCAAAAGCCUCUCUCAGUUCGGAUCGAAGUCUGCAACCCGACUUCGUGAAGCUGGAUUCGCUAGUAAUCGCGCAUCAGCCACGGCGCGGUGAAUACGUUCCCGGGCCUUGUACACACCGCCCGUCAAGCCAUGGGAGCCGGGGGUACCUGAAGUACGUAACCGCAAGGAUCGUCCUAGGGUAAAACUGGUGACUGGGGCUAAGUCGUAACAAGGUAGCCGUACCGGAAGGUGCGGCUGGAACACCUCCUUU
rnacentral:rRNA from 1 species